ensembl:lncRNA novel transcript, antisense to PROP1
UCAGGUGUGGCCCAUCCAGCCCCUCAGUGUUUUCCUCGGUCCUGGGGAUGCUCAGGUGUGGUCCAUCCAGCCCCUCAGUGUUUCCCUCGGUCCUGAGGAUGCUCAGUCUUCCCACACAGGUUGAGAGAGGAGGGGAUCCAAUUGCCUGUGAGGAGGACACGGCUCCUGGGUGGACCCUGCAGAUUGUGAAGUUCAAGUCACAGCUCCUGGGAAGGUCUCUGUGUGUAAAGAUCGUGGGGGUGAGACAGAUUCAGGGACCACACUCUGCUCUGCUCUGUACCUCUGAGUGUCAAUCCAGCUGCCUUGUGACCAGGACACUUAGAAGAAGCAUGGACCCUGCAAGAGGAUGGGCUCAAGGACAGCUUGCCUGACUGCAGCCAUAAGGAUGAAGCCUCUUCAGGUAGAGGACUCCAGAUUGAAAUGAAAACCACAACAAAACCCAUGACUGGAAGCCAUCCCCGAUAAGUCUUCUGCGGCCAGCUUCCUGUGGUGAGCCUCCCCAUCAAGGGUAACUGCAGCCUCCUUGGAAAUAAAGGAGAUCAGGACUC